AUUGAACGCUGGCGGCAGGCUUAACACAUGCAAGUCGAGCGAGCGGCGGACGGGUGAGUAACGUCUGGGAAACUGCCUGAUGGAGGGGGUUAACUAUGGGAAACGGUAGCUAAUACCGCAUAACAUCAGAUGUGCCCAGAUGGGUUUAGCUAGUAGGUGGGGUAAUGGCUCUCCUAGGCGACGAUCCCUAGCUGGUCUGAGAGGAUGACCGGCCACACUGGAACUGGGACACGGUCCAGACCCCUACGGGAGACAGCAGUGGGGAGUAUGGCACAAUGGGCGCAGGCCUGAUGCCGCCAUGCCGCGUGUGUGGAGAGGGCCUUCGGGUUGUAAGGCACUUUCAGCGAGGAGGCGUUACUCGCAGAAGAAGCGCCGGCUAACUCCGUGCCAGCAGCCGCGGUAAUAC
rnacentral:rRNA from 1 species